rnacentral:rRNA from 1 species
GUGUCAGCAGCCGCGGUAACACGAACUGCGCGAACGUUAUUCGGAAUCACUGGGCUUAAAGAGUCCGUAGGCGGCUUUGUAGGUGAGGUGUGAAAUCCCACGGCUUAACCGUGGAAUGGCGCUUCAAACCACAUCGCUAGAGGGAGAUAGAGGAGAGCGGAACUCACGGUGGAGCGGUGAAAUGCGUUGAUAUCGUGAGGAACACCGGUGGCGAAAGCGGCUCUCUGGGUCUCUUCUGACGCUGAGGGACGAAAGCUAGGGGAGCGAACGGGAUUAGAUACCCCGGUAGUCCUAGCUGUAAACGAUGAGCACUAGAUCGAGGGGACUCCCACAUCUUCUUGGUCGUAGCGAAAGUGUUAAGUGCUCCGCCUGGGGAGUAUGGUCGCAAGGCUGAAACUUAAAUGAAUUGACGGGG